AUGUCUCAGUACAAGCCGCAUUAAGGCGAAACCGCGAAUGGCUCAUUAAAUCAGUUAUGGUUCCUUAGAUCUUACACUUUUUACAUGGAUAACUGUGGUAAUUCUAGAGCUAAUACAUGAAACUAGUACCCCGACUUUACGGAAGGGGUGCUUUUAUUAGAACAAAACCAAUCGGUCGGCUCGUCCGUCCGUUGCCUUGGUGACUCUGAAUAACUUUGGGCUGAUCGCACGGUCCUAGCACCGGCGACGCAUCUUUCAAAUGUCUGCCUUAUCAACUGUCGAUGGUAGGUUCUGCGCCUACCAUGGUUGUAACGGGUGACGGGGAAUCAGGGUUCGAUUCCGGAGAGGGAGCCUGAGAAACGGCUACCACAUCCAAGGAAGGCAGCAGGCGCGCAAAUUACCCACUCCCGGCACGGGGAGGUAGUGACGAAAAAUAACGAUACGGGACUCAUCCGAGGCCCCGUAAUCGGAAUGAGAACACUUUAAAUCCUUUAACGAGGAUCUAUUGGAGGGCAAGUCUGGUGCCAGCAGCCGCGGUAAUUCCAGCUCCAAUAGCGUAUAUUAAAGUUGUUGCGGUUAAAAAGCUCGUAGUCGGAGGUGUGUCUCGGACGGUCGGUUCGCCGCUUGUCGGUGCUCAACUGGCCGGUCCGGACGUCCUGCCGGUGGGGCUGUAAAAAGGCUCCGUUAUCCUUCUUUGGUCCUCUUCAUUGAGUGCCUUGGUGGGGCCGGCACGUUUUACUUUGAACAAAUUAGAGUGCUCAAAGCAGGCCGUUGGUCGCCUGAAUACUGUGUGCAUGGAAUAAUAGAAUAGGACCUCGGUUCCAUUUUGUUGGUUUUCAGAACUCGAGGUAAUGAUUAAUAGGGACGGACGGGGGCAUUCGUAUUGCGACGU
rnacentral:rRNA from 1 species